AUUGAACGCUGGCGGCAUGCCUUACACAUGCAAGUCGAACGGUAACAGGUCUUCGGAUGCUGACGAGUGGCGAACGGGUGAGUAAUACAUCGGAACGUGCCUAGUAGUGGGGGAUAACUACUCGAAAGAGUGGCUAAUACCGCAUGAGAUCUACGGAUGAAAGCAGGGGAUCGCAAGACCUUGUGCUACUAGAGCGGCCGAUGGCAGAUUAGGUAGUUGGUGGGAUAAAAGCUUACCAAGCCGACGAUCUGUGGCUGGUCUGAGGGGCCGAUCAGCCACACUGGGACUGGGACACGGCCCAGACUCCUACGGGAGGCAGCAGUGGGGAAUUUUGGACAAUGGGCGCAAGCCUGAUCCAGCAAUGCCGCGUGCAGGAUGAAGGCCUUCGGGCUGUAAACUGCUUGUGUACGGAACGAAAAGCCCUGGGUUAAUACCCUGGGGUCAUGACGGUACCGUAAGAAUAAGCACCGGCUAACUACGUGCCAGCAGCCGCCGCCG
rnacentral:rRNA from 1 species